rnacentral:sRNA from 1 species
GUCCAGACACCCAGGUCACAGACCCUCCACCCCCAGGCCUCCCAGAGCCCCUCACCCUCUGCCAGCCACGGUAGCCCCCCAGUGGCCUCUUUUUCUUCCAUCUUCCCAUGUGUCCCCAGGUUCCUGUUGACGGCUGUCGCCUUGCUCUCCAGCUACUCCAUCCACCUGCUACUCAAGUCCUCAGGGGUCGUGGGCAUCCGUGCCUAUGAGCAGCUGGGCUACCGUGCCUUUGGGACCCCAGGAAAGCUGGCAGCAGCCCUGGCCAUCACGCUCCAGAACAUCGGAGCCAUGUCCAGCUACCUGUACAUCAUCAAGUCUGAGCUGCCACUUGUCAUACAGACCUUCCUGAACCUGGAGGAGAAAACCUCGGACUGGUACAUGAACGGGAACUACCUGGUAAUCCUUGUCUCUGUCACCAUCAUUC